GUGCCAGCAGCCGCGGUAAUACGUAGGGAGCAAGCGUUGUCCGGAAUCAUUGGGCGUAAAGCGCGCGUAGGUGGCCUCAUAAGUCCGCUGUGAAAGUCAAAGGCUCAACCUUUGAAAGCCGGUGGAUACUGUGAGGCUAGAGUACGGAAGAGGCGAGUGGAAUUCCUGGUGUAGCGGUGGAAUGCGCAGAUAUCAGGAGGAACACCAAUAGCGAAGGCAGCUCGCUGGGACGUUACUGACACUGAGGCGCGAAAGCGUGGGGAGCGAACAGGAUUAGAUACCCUGGUAGUCC
rnacentral:rRNA from 1 species